rnacentral:rRNA from 1 species
GACGAACGCUGGCGGCGUGCUUAACACAUGCAAGUCGAGCGGUAAGGCCCUUUCGGGGGUACACGGGCGGCGAACGGGUGAGUAACACGUGGGUGACCUGCCCUCAGCUCUGGGAUAAGCCUGGGAAACCGGGUCUAAUACCGGAUAUGACUCCAUGACGCAUGUUGUGGGGUGGAAAGCCUUGUGCGGCUGAGGAUGGGCCCGCGGCCUAUCAGCUUGUUGGUGGGGUGAUGGCCACCAAGGCGACGACGGGUAGCCGGCCUGAGAGGGCGACCGGCCACACUGGGACUGAGACACGGCCCAGACUCCUACGGGAGGCAGCAGUGGGGAAUCUUGCGCAAUGGGCGAAAGCCUGACGCAGCGACGCCGCGUGAGGGAUGACGG